AAGCAAUGGCGUACAAUCUUAUAUUCCACCGGCCUCGUUAGACUCGUUUCAUUUCCAGCGUUGCCAUUCUUUUAAGACAAAGAAAAAAAGAAAGAGUGUUCCUAACUCACCAAACUAGACAAGUCUGCAAGUCUUUGACUACUUUACUUUAUUGCUGACCUCAAUAUCACCUGCAACUUCCUCACUGGCAAAAAAAAAAAUGCAUUUGCAUUUGUGUACAAUAUGAAUCAUAUCAAAGAAUUUCAUGACAUCUGGCGGGGACUCCUUUUUUUCCCCCCCAUUUGAUGAUACGUCGUCAAUCACAACAAAAGCUCACCAACAGACACUGUGUUAUUGUAACUGCUGUUGGAUGUGAAAUUUCACACAUUGUCUCGUUUCAUAAUCACCGGAAACGAAAUUUGAUGGACAUCCAGGUGAGUAUGACAGCGAGAGGACACAGCGAAAAAAUAUUACAACGGCGAGAGAAAGUCUCUCACCGUAAAAACAAAAAAAUUCAGGACACAACAUUACUUGUCUACUACCAAUUUGACUUCUUUUUUUCCCCUUUUAUACAUGGACCGACUUGAUGGAUGUUGUCCGGUCUCGUGAAUCUAACGGCCAUUCAUCUCAACAAAAUAACCCACCAAAAAAAAGGCCAGGGAAUAAGCAUUUCGGAUGGAAAAGAACGUGCAGGAAAUGAAUCAAACUGUCAACAAAACCUCCCCUCGUCUUUAAACAAAAACGGAGGAUAUUGAUAAGGGGCGCAAAAAAAUGAAGUGAAGGGGGGCCGGAUGAAAAACUGUUCACACACCAGACCAGACAAUAUGGCGGCGGCACGAGAACAAAAAAAAAAAAGAAAAGAAUUGGCAUUUUAAAAAAUAUAUAUAAUAAAAAGGGGAAAACCUGUGUGUGUGUGCGACAGAGAGAAAAAGAAAGAAAAGAACGUCUAGUAUGUCUGUCAAAGAGAGAGAGCCCGGAAAAUCGGGUUGACGUGUACAGUUUGAAGCAGACGGCCCAGCGCAAAUACCAAGAACAAGACGGGCGUAGCCGUUGUUUUAUUUUCGGAGUCGUGGCUGCUGGCGAGAGCCUUUUGCUGCAAGUCAAGAAACUCCACCAAAUUUCGAGAACUCUUCUCAAGAGUCGAGAUAGAGAGAGAGAGAGAGACUGGAGGACUUUUAGGUGGCCGCAGGCAUUGCACCUCAUGGCCAUUGGAUGCCUCCAACCAUGUCUUUUUGGUUGUCUACCAACGAAAAAAUAAACUACUCGUCUUAUAUAUUUUCUACAGUUCACUAAUGGCGACAAGAAGAAAAAGCUCGAAAUAGAAUCACAUACAGACACCACAGCCACCCCCCACCGCCCACGUUUUCUUUUUUCAUCCCCGAAAAAAUUUAAAACGCCGUUUCAAAAUGACUCGGAAGCCAGUCCGUCACUGCAUAAAAUGUCUUCUGUAAUAAAAACGGCAAAAAAAAAAAAAAAA